ACAGUGGGAUUCCCCCGGUCCGCACCAGUUCUAAGCCAGCUGCUAGGCGCCAGCCGAGGCGACCCGCUGGGGCCCUGCCCAGAGCCGCGGGAACUGGACCCCGGCCGCCGC